rnacentral:rRNA from 1 species
GGGUUGUGAGGUUAAGCGACUAAGCGUACACGGUGGAUGCCCCGCAGUCAGAGGCGAUGAAGGACGUGCUAAUCUGCGAUAAGCGUCGGUAAGGUGAUAUGAACCGUUAUAACCGGCGAUUUCCGAAUGGGGAAACCCAGUGUGUUUCGACACACUAUCAUUAACUGAAUCCAUAGGUUAAUGAGGCGAACCGGGGGAACUGAAACAUCUAAGUACCCCGAGGAAAAGAAAUCAACCGAGAUUCCCCCAGUAGCGGCGAGCGAACGGGAGCAGCCCAGAGCCUGAAUCAGUGUGUGUGUUAGUGGAAGCGUCUGGAAAGGGCGCGCGAUACAGGGUGACAGCCCCGUACACAAAAAUGCACAUGCUGUGAGCUCGAUGAGUAGGGCGGGACACGUGGUAUCCUGUCUGAAUAUGGGGGACCAUCCUCCAAGGCUAAAUACUCCUGACUGACCGAUAGUGAACCAGUACCGUGAGGGAAAGGCGAAAAGAACCCCGGCGAGGGGAGUGAAAAAGAACCUGAAACCGUGUACGUACAAGCAGUGGGAGCCUCUUAAUGGGGUGACUGCGUACCUUUGUAUAAUGGGUCAGCGACUUAUAUUCUGUAGCAAGGUUAACCGAAUAGGGGAGCCGAAGGGAAACCGAGUCUUAACUGGGCGUUAAGUUGCAGGGUAUAGACCCGAAACCCGGUGAUCUAGCCAUGGGCAGGUUGAAGGUUGGGUAACACUAACUGGAGGACCGAACCGACUAAUGUUGAAAAAUUAGCGGAUGACUUGUGGCUGGGGGUGAAAGGCCAAUCAAACCGGGAGAUAGCUGGUUCUCCCCGAAAGCUAUUUAGGUAGCGCCUCGUGAAUUCAUCUCCGGGGGUAGAGCACUGUUUCGGCAAGGGGGUCAUCCCGACUUACCAACCCGAUGCAAACUGCGAAUACCGGAGAAUGUUAUCACGGGAGACACACGGCGGGUGCUAACGUCCGUCGUGAAGAGGGAAACAACCCAGACCGCCAGCUAAGGUCCCAAAGUCAUGGUUAAGUGGGAAACGAUGUGGGAAGGCCCAGACAGCCGAGGAUGUUGGCUUAGAAGCAGCCAUCAUUUAAAGAAAGCGUAAUAGCUCACUGGUCGAGUCGGCCUGCGCGGAAGAUGUAACGGGGCUAAACCAUGCACCGAAGCUGCGGCAGCGACACUAUGUGUUGUUGGGUAGGGGAGCGUUCUGUAAGCCUGUGAAGGUGUACUGUGAGGUAUGCUGGAGGUAUCAGAAGUGCGAAUGCUGACAUAAGUAACGAUAAAGCGGGUGAAAAGCCCGCUCGCCGGAAGACCAAGGGUUCCUGUCCAACGUUAAUCGGGGCAGGGUGAGUCGACCCCUAAGGCGAGGCCGAAAGGCGUAGUCGAUGGGAAACAGGUUAAUAUUCCUGUACUUGGUGUUACUGCGAAGGGGGACGGAGAAGGCUAUGUUGGCCGGGCGACGGUUGUCCCGGUUUAAGCGUGUAGGCUGGUUUUCCGGGCAAAUCCGGAAAAUCAAGGCUGAGGCGUGAUGACGAGGCACUACGGUGCUGAAGCAACAAAUGCCCUGCUUCCGUGAAAGCCUCUAAGCAUCAGGUAACAUCAAAUCGUACCCCAAACCGACACAGGUGGUCAGGUAGAGAAUACCAAGGCGCUUGAGAGAACUCGGGUGAAGGAACUAGGCAAAAUGGUGCCGUAACUUCGGGAGAAGGCACGCUGAUAUGUAGGUGAAGUCCCUCGCGGAUGGAGCUGAAAUCAGUCGAAGAUACCAGCUGGCUGCAACUGUUUAUUAAAAACACAGCACUGUGCAAACACGAAAGUGGACGUAUACGGUGUGACGCCUGCCCGGUGCCGGAAGGUUAAUUGAUGGGGUUAGCGGUAACGCGAAGCUCUUGAUCGAAGCCCCGGUAAACGGCGGCCGUAACUAUAACGGUCCUAAGGUAGCGAAAUUCCUUGUCGGGUAAGUUCCGACCUGCACGAAUGGCGUAAUGAUGGCGGGCUGUCUCCACCCGAGACUCAGUGAAAUUGAACUCGCUGUGAAGAUGCAGUGUACCCGCGGCAAGACGGAAAGACCCCGUGAACCUUUACUAUAGCUUGACACUGAACAUUGAGCCUUGAUGUGUAGGAUAGGUGGGGAGGCUUUGAAGUGUGGACGCCAGUCUGCAUGGAGCCGGCCUUGAAAUACCACCCUUUAAUGUUUGAUGUUCUAACGUUGGCCCCUGAUCGGGGUUGCGGACAGUGUCUGGUGGGUAGUUUGACUGGGGCGGUCUCCUCCUAAAGAGUAACGGAGGAGCACGAAGGUUGGCUAAUCUGGUCGGACAUCAGGAGGUUAGUGCAAUGGCAUAAGCCAGCUUGACUGCGAGCGUGACGGCGCGAGCAGGUGCGAAAGCAGGUCAUAGUGAUCCGGUGGUUCUGAAUGGAAGGGCCAUCGCUCAACGGAUAAAAAGGUACUCCGGGGAUAACAGGCUGAUACCGCCCAAGAGUUCAUAUCGACGGCGGUGUUUGGCACCUCGAUGUCGGCUCAUCACAUCCUCGGGCUGAAGUAGGUCCCAAGGGUAUGGCUGUUCGCCAUUUAAAGUGGUACGCGAGCUGGGUUUAGAACGUCGUGAGACAGUUCGGUCCCUAUCUGCCGUGGGCGCUGGAGAACUGAGGGGGCUGCUCCUAGUACGAGAGGACCGGAGUGGACGCAUCACUGGUGUUCGGGUUGUCAUGCCAAUGGCACUGCCCGGUAGCUAAAUGCGGAAGAGAUAAGUGCUGAAAGCAUCUAAGCACGAAACUUGCCCCGAGAUGAGUUCUCCCUGACUCCUUGAGAGUCCUGAAGGAACGUUGAAGACGACGACGUUGAUAGGCCGGGUGUGUAAGCGCAGCGAUGCGUUGAGCUAACCGGUACUAAUGAACCGUGAGGCUUAACCUUACAACGCCGAAG